rnacentral:rRNA from 1 species
UACGAAGGGUGCAACCGUUGCGCGGAAUUAUUGGGCGUAAAGCGCACGUAGGCGGCUUUGCAAGUCGGAUGUGAAAUCCCUCGGCUUAACCAAGGAAGUGCAUCCGAAACUGCAGAGCUUGAGUACUUAAGAGGAUCGCGGAAUUCCCGGUGUAGAGGUGAAAUUCGUAGAUAUCGGGAGGAACACCAGUGGCGAAGGCGGCGAUCUGGGAAGAUACUGACGCUGAGGUGCGAAAGCGUGGGGAGCAAACAGG